GUACUAGAUUUUAUAGGUCAAAGACCCACAAAAAAGACAUUCAAAGACAUACAAAGGGUAUAUGAAGACAUAGACUAUGAAAAUGCAAGGGAAGCACGGUUAGGCGCAGCCCUCAAUCCGAGAUUUUCACUCGAGAGGUAUUCAUAGUCUAGCUAAAGGUGCACAAGAGAGAAUGAAUAUGAACGAGCGUGCACAUGCUCCUGAGAGCCAGCGACAACCCGAAUCAACUUCAAUAAUGAUCCUUCCGCAGGUUCACCUACGGAAA
rnacentral:misc_RNA from 1 species